GGUGGUUCAGUGGUAGAGUGCUUGCCUUGCAUGCAUGAGGCCCUGGAUUCGAAUCCCCAGCACCA
rfam:Dipodomys ordii contig_50845, whole genome shotgun sequence.